CACGGGGUCUGUACUUCCUGCUGACACCUGUAGAUCCGUCAGUUCUUCGUGAAGUUAACUGUCUCCUCUUGGGAGCAAUUUCAAUGCCUUCAUGUAUCCUCAAAACACAGGAGGAGCGUGGGAGGCCCGAAGAGCAGCGAGCGGAUAAACACACUGUUCGCACACAGACCGCCGCGCCUGGGUCCUCCUUCCCUACACCCCCCACGGUCUGCCAACACAGACCGUGACAGAAUGAUCCCGCCAAGCAUGGACCCAGCGGUCUCUGAGGAGAGGCUCAGGAGGGAGGAUUUGGAAUCCAGCUGCUGGUUUACAUGAUCCGCUUCUUCCCAGUUUCCCAUGUUGUCCAGCUCAGUCACAGUGGUGUCAAUCAGUGCCCCGCCCUCACUCCAGACUUUCUGAGGACGGCAAAUGGCUUUCAGACUCACCCACCCGCCCAGACCGCUCUGGAUGAGUUUACAGAAAGCCACAGCCCCCCAAGAAUCUACAGUCACAUUAGUAUACAAGCAGAGUUUCAAGGAGUUGGGAGUCAAGGAACAGCGGGUCCUCCGAGGUAUUGACAUGGCACGGGGUCUGUACUUCCUGCUGACACCUGUAGAUCCGUCAGUUCUUCGUGAAGUUAACUGUCUCCUCUUGGGAGCAAUUUCAAUGCCUUCAUGUAUCCUCAAAACACAGGAGGAGCGUGGGAGGCCCGAAGAGCAGCGAGCGAAUAAACACACCGUUCGCACACAGACCGCCGCGCCUGGGUCCUCCUUCCCUACACCCCCCACGGUCUGCCAACACAGACCGUGACAGAAUGAUCCCGCCAAGCAUGGACCCAGCGGUCUCUGAGGAGAGGCUCAGGAGGGAGGAUUUGGAAUCCAGCUGCUGGUUUACAUGAUCCGCUUCUUCCCAGUUUCCCAUGUUGUCCAGCUCAGUCACAGUGGUGUCAAUCAGUGCCCCGCCCUCACUCCAGACUUUCUGAGGACGGCAAAUGGCUUUCAGACUCACCCACCCGCCCAGACCGCUCUGGAUGAGUUUACAGAAAGCCACAGCCCCCCAAGAAUCUACAGUCACAUUAGUAUACAAGCAGAGUUUCAAGGAGUUGGGAGUCAAGGAACAGCGGGUCCUCCGAGGUAUUGACAUGGCACGGGGUCUGUACUUCCUGCUGACACCUGUAGAUCCGUCAGUUCUUCGUGAAGUUAACUGUCUCCUCUUGGGAGCAAUUUCAAUGCCUUCAUGUAUCCUCAAAACACAGGAGGAGCGUGGGAGGCCCGAAGAGCAGCGAGCGGAUAAACACACUGUUCGCACACAGACCGCCGCGCCUGGGUCCUCCUUCCCUACACCCCCCACGGUCUGCCAACACAGACCGUGACAGAAUGAUCCCGCCAAGCAUGGACCCAGCGGUCUCUGAGGAGAGGCUCAGGAGGGAGGAUUUGGAAUCCAGCUGCUGGUUUACAUGAUCCGCUUCUUCCCAGUUUCCCAUGUUGUCCAGCUCAGUCACAGUGGUGUCAAUCAGUGCCCCGCCCUCACUCCAGACUUUCUGAGGACGGCAAAUGGCUUUCAGACUCACCCACCCGCCCAGACCGCUCUGGAUGAGUUUACAGAAAGCCACAGCCCCCCAAGAAUCUACAGUCACAUUAGUAUACAAGCAGAGUUUCAAGGAGUUGGGAGUCAAGGAACAGCGGGUCCUCCGAGGUAUUGACAUGGCACGGGGUCUGUACUUCCUGCUGACACCUGUAGAUCCGUCAGUUCUUCAUGAAGUUAACUGUCUCCUCUUGGGAGCAAU